CGGCGGACGGGUGAGUAACACGUGGAUAACCUACCUAUAAGACUGGGAUAACUUCGGGAAACCGGAGCUAAUACCGGACAAUAUAUUGAACCGCAUGGUUCAAUAGUGAAAGACGGUUUUGCUGUCACUUAUAGAUGGAUCCGCGCCGCAUUAGCUAGUUGGUAAGGUAACGGCUUACCAAGGCAACGAUGCGUAGCCGACCUGAGAGGGUGAUCGGCCACACUGGAACUGAGACACGGUCCAG
rnacentral:rRNA from 1 species